rnacentral:rRNA from 1 species
AAAAAGAAAAGGAAUUUUAAUUUUUUUUAUUUAAAAAAAUAUUUUUAUUUUUAAAAUUUAGUAUUAUUUAAAAUAAUUUUUUUUAUUUAUAAUUUAAGUAUUGAAAAAGAAAAAAAUAAUUAAUUUUUAAAAAUAUUAAUUUUUUUUACCUUUUGUAUCAGGGUUUAUUAAAUUAAAUUAAUUUAUAUAUUAUUUUUCUCGAAAUAAAUGGAUUUAAAUUUUAAUAUUUUUUAAUAUUAAAUUAUUAUAAAAAAUUAAAAUUUAGAAAUUAAAUGUUUUUCGAAAUUUAUAUAUCUAGUUAUUUUAUAAAUUUUUUUAAUAAAGAAAAUAAUUUUUUUUUGUAAUUUAAUUUUUAAAUUUAAAAAAUUUUAUUUUUAAUUUUUUUGGGGAUAAACUUAAAAUUAAUUUUAAUAUUUUUUUUUAAAAAAAAAAUAAUUUUUUAGAAAUAAAAAUUUUUUUAGUUAAUUAAUUUUUAAUAAUUAAGUUUGAUCAAUAAAGAUAAAAUUUUUUAAAAAAUUUAUUUAAUUAUAAAAUUAAUAUUUUUAAUUAUUUUAAAUAUUUAAUAAUGAUAAAAUUAGUAAAAUUAAAUUAAUUUAAUUUAGAAUUUUUAAAGAUUAAAUUAAAGAAUUUGGCAAUAAAUUUAUAUUUACCUGUUUAUUAAAAACAUGGUUUUUUGAAAAUAAUUUAAAAUCUAACCUGCUCAAUGAAUAAAUUUUAAAUAGCUGCAAUUUUGUACUAAGGUAGCAUAAUCAUUUGUCUUUUUAUUAAAGUCUGGAAUGAAGGGUUGAAUAAAAUAUAAACUGUUUCAAUUUAAUAUUUUUUAAAUUUUAUUAUAAGUAAAAAUUCUUAUAUAAUUUUUAAAGACGAGAAGACCCUAUAGAAUUUUAUAAUUUUUUAUUUUAAUAUUUUUUUUUUAAUUUAAUUAAUUAUUUGAUUGGGGAAAUUUAAAAAUUUAAAAAAAUUUUUAAUUUUAAAUUAUAUUUAUUUAUAUAUUUUUAAUCCAUUAUUAAUGAAUUUAAAUUAAAUUACCUUAGGGAUAACAGCGUAAUAAUUUUAGAGAGAUCAUAUUGAUAAAAUUGUUUGCGACCUCGAUGUUGAAUUAAGAAUUAUUUUUAUUGUAGAAAAUAAAAUUUUUAGUCUGUUCGACUAUUAAAUUCUUACAUGAUUUGAGUUUAGAUCGGUGUGAGCCAGAUCGGAUUCUAUCUUAAAAUAUUUAAAAUAAUUUUGUACGAAAGGACUAAUUAUUUAAAAUAAUUUUUUAUUUUUGAAUUAAAUUAAUUAUGAUU